GAUGAACGCUAGCGAUAGGCCUAACACAUGCAAGUCGAGGGGCAGCAUAAGGAAGUAGCAAUACUUUCUGGUGGCGACCGGCGCACGGGUGAGUAACACGUAUGCAACCUGCCUUCAACAAGGGGAUAACCCGUUGAAAGACGGACUAAUACCCUAUAACACAGGGGUCCCGCAUGGGAAUAUUUGUUAAAGGACAACCGGUUGAAGAUGGGCAUGCGUUCCAUUAGCUAGUUGGCGGGUAACGGCCCACCAAGGCAACGAUGGAUAGGGGAACUGAGAGGUUUAUCCCCCACACUGGUACUGAGACACGGACCAGACUCCUACGGGAGGCAGCAGUGAGGAAUAUUGGUCAAUGGACGCAAGUCUGAACCAGCCACGUCGCGUGAAGGAAGACGGCCCUACGGGUUGUAAACUUCUUUUAUACGGGAAUAAAGUGCCCCACGCGUGGGGUUUUGCAUGUACCGUA
rnacentral:rRNA from 1 species